rnacentral:rRNA from 1 species
UACGUAGGGGGCUAGCGUUGUCCGGAUUUAUUGGGCGUAAAGAGCGUGUAGGCGGCCAUGUAGGUCCGGUGUGAAAACUCGAGGCUUAACCUCGAGAUGUCAUCGGAAACCAUUUGGCUAGAGUCCGGAAGAGGAGAGUGGAAUUCCUGGUGUAGCGGUGAAAUGCGCAGAUAUCAGGAGGAACACCGAUGGCGAAGGCAGCUCGCUGGGACGGUACUGACGCUGAGGCGCGAAAGCGUGGGGAGCGAACAGG